rnacentral:misc_RNA from 1 species
GGUGCGGCCAACCGAACAUAGGGCUGUCUCUUCACUCUCCCACCCGUCAUUGAACAUGUCGUGGUCGGGAUGCUUCCGAUCGGUUGCCUGUGCGGUUCUACCCUCUUGUGGGUAGCGAACUCGUCCCUUGAUGGAUAUAUGCUUGCCCUUGUGACAUUUUUGUGUCGUUUGGGCAGCCGAAAUGUUGGCGAUAUCCUUGUGUUGGCGCGUGGUUGAAUGAUGUGUUGCUAUCACUUGGAUUUUUGCCGGCUCUCACGGAUGCGGUGCCUAGCGCUAGCUCUGCGGGACUUUGCCCCGCAGACUUCGGGAGGUCCCUUGUACGAAUCAUUGCUCUUAUACGCCGUCUUGUCGUGCCGCUACCGUGGCACGCAGAUCGUGUUCUUUCGUGCAGUCGUUGACAGCACGAAAGCGAACAUUAGUGUCCGGAGCGUGGUCUUGUGCACGUGGAAUGCCUCUCCGAUCGUAUGAGUAGCGAUU